GCAAUACAGUAUAUUUUUAUGGUUACAGAUAAUACAUUAUGUAUUGACUAUAGUCUGUUCUGAAUGACAUCGGUACAGCGGCCGUACAGGCGAUUACCUACUGCGCGGUGCGCAUGAGUUGGGCUUUGUUCUCUGUAGUCACUAGUCUGCACCAAUCUUAUUUUAAACAGACUUUGGAUCUAUUUAUAUUGCAUUAAAUGUAUUAUCCACAGAAUCGAGAGCAAAUCUUAACAGAGUGUAUGGUAUUGUCAUAGACACAAAAAACAACUACCUAGAUGGCAGACCGCAUAUACCUUCCCACAGGUACGUUGAAGUCGUGCGGCCAUAAGUCAACAGGACAAUGUUGAAUGUAUACAAAUUAAUUACACGUCUACACAACAAUACUCUAUGUCUCUAUGAGACUGCGGCUGAUAAACUAACAACUGUUCACACCAUAGAGUUUAAAGAUUUUAUCUAUGGUAGUACGAAGCCACGACGGACUAAAAUAAAUUAUGCAUAAGAAUAAUCUUUUAUGUCUAUGAUGAAAUACGGAACGCAGUAAAGAUACUAUAGAAUAUAGAUAGUAUCUACCAGCAGAGAGUUCAAUAUCAAAUGCCAAUGUGGUUUUCAUUAAUUAUAGACGUACAGUCAACAAUAAUUGUCUACCUACUUGCGCCAUUCAAAGCUGUCCACAGAAAAUCUAUUUUGGAAAGGAAGAUGACCGUUAAUCUAGUCCAGGAGUUCGAAUACUCGAGCAAGUUUAUAUCUUGCGUAUCAGUCGACAAUUCGUUCGUCUUCUCGACGGACGUUGGCCUGUUGAUCGUUGACAUCCAGUCAGACCUGUUCAGGCCAUCUGUGGACUACAAGGUAUUCAGGACAUCAAUCCCAUUCUCGAAGGAGAAACCUUUUGAAGAUAAAAAUUUCAAAGAAAUACGUUUCCAAAGACCAGUGGUGUGCCAAGAACACAAUUUAACAGUGUAUCCCAACAGUCGGAAUUGGCAUGUCAUUUAUAUGGGAAACAACAGCAAUAUAGUGUUUUUAGAAAGAAAUAAUAAUAAAUGGAUAGAAAAAUUAAGUGACAUACCACAAAAAUGGUUUUUGAUAGUAUCUCAGAAACCUUGUUUCAUAAUAGACAAAAAGAAUCUUAAUCUUUUUAAAACUGAAAACCGAAUUCUUCAUUAUUGCCGUGAAAAAGAAAAGUCGUUACAAAUUAAAAAUUUUGUUUUUACUCAUACCUUGAAACAUGAAAAUGAAACAGAAGUUUAUGGAACCAUAUGUUGUCAUUUAAAUAAUAUGUUGACAUUUUGGUCAACUUCAUCAGAAAAAUCAUUUUUUUUGAAAGAAUUUGAAUUUCAUACUGUUUCUAUAAAACAUAUUAAAUGGUUUCAGAUAUCAAGUGAAUUAUCUUGGUUAGUGGUUUCUUUGACAAAUGGUCAAGUUUAUGUUCAUGAAAUAUUGAAUUAUCCUAAUGUGCACUGUACAUUUAUUUUGUGGCCGGAUGAAGAUUUUGCUUGUGUGAAAAACAUUCGAGUUGAAAGUAUUUCAAAUGAUAAAUGUCUCAUAUUUUUUACAAAAAUGUCAUUUGUAUUGGUAAUGUUGUAUUCAUUAUCCGAAAAACAAAUUUUAUCGACAAAAAAAGAAAUGAUUCCUAAGACUGCAAUUAUAGCUGGUUUAACAAUUGUAUUAGAAAAAAAUUUGGUAAUACUAGUGACAGAUGUUGGCAAAUUUAUUUGUUUGUAUUUUUCUGCUAUAAAAUCAGAAGUAACUUAUACUUUAAAAAUGGUGAAUGAUAAUUUUAGUGAACAAGUUCAAAACUAUACUUGUACAUCAGUAGUAUUUUCAAAAAAUGAGUGUAUUUGUGUCCUCACAUUUCAGUGCAACAUUGCCAAAUAUAGUAAAAAUGAUGGUCAUGUUAAAAACAAAUUGCUAUUUUGUACAAUUCCUGAAAACUUAGUGGAACUUGAGAGAAAAAUUUUAUCAGUAAAUAAUUGUAAUUAUGAUAAUGUUAUUGAUUGUAUUGAGACUCUAAGAAUUAAUAGAAUGGAUGACAAUUCAAAUAACGUGUGUCAGUUAGAUAGGAAAUCAUUAGACAAAUUAUCCAUCCAACAUCUUAAACUUACUUAUUGGAAUGUAGCCUUUAAAAUUAAGAAAAAUGAACACGAUGAAAAUAUUUUACAAGAGUUACAAAUGUUACUUCAUACUCGUCAUUUGAUUAGUUAUUUUUCUAAUAAGAAAAAAAAAAUUAAAAAGGAGGAUCAAUAUUAUUGUCGAACAAUGCUAUCAUAUUAUGUGAAUAAACUAUCAGUAGAAUAUGUCCAAGUUAAAGUGGAUGCUACUAAUUUAAUUGGUUCUUUUAGUGGUGCUAAACAUACCUACUUUUGUAACACAUGUGAAACAAUUUUGUUAUCAUUUACAGAUUUCAGAAUGUUUGUUUGUGAACAACAACACAAAGAACUUAGAUGUCCUGUUACUUUAGGACCACUCGGUAUGCCAAGUUUGGUGUGUUCUAUGUGUUUCACAAUGGCUAAUGUUAAUGCAGACGCAUGACUAUGUUAUUCACAUGAAGAUUCCAUCUAAGGUGAUUGUCAAACGUUAAACCUAGAUAUCGGGUACUAGAUACUCUAACUAAUUUUUGACAGACUGUGCCAUAACACAAUGUUCCAUUAUGACAGAAAUGUAACAAAAUCAAAGUUGUGUUUGGUGUUUUGGAAAAUAUGUACCAAACAAACUACUAUUCUAAGUUCAAGAAAUCAAUGUCCAUAUACAAAAUAUGUUGAUUGAUUGCAUACUCGUUGUACAUUUACAUUUUAUAAUAUUUUUAAAUAUUAUUUUUAAAAACAAUAAAUACUGUAGAUAGUA